ACGAACGCUGGCGGCAGGCUUAACACAUGCAAGUCGAGCGCCCCGCAAGGGGAGCGGCGGACGGGUUAGUAACGCGUGGGAACGUGCCCUCUUCUACGGAAUAGCCUCGGGAAACUGAGAUUAAUACCGUAUACGCCCGAAAGGGGAAAGAUUUAUCGGAGGAGGAUCGGCCCGCGUUGGAUUAGGUAGUUGGUGAGGUAACGGCUCACCAAGCCGACGAUCCAUAGCUGGUUUGAGAGGAUGAUCAGCAACACUGGGACUGAGACACGGCCCAGACUCCUACGGGAGGCAGCAGUGGGGAAUCUUGGACAAUGGGGGAAACCCUGAUCCAGCCAUGCCGCGUGGACGAUGAAGGCCUUAGGGUUGUAAAGUCCUUUCGCCAGGGAAGAUAAUGACGGUACCUGGUAAAGAAGCCCCGGCUACCUCCGU
rnacentral:rRNA from 1 species